rnacentral:rRNA from 1 species
UACAGAGCCUCAAGCGUUGUUCGGAAUCACUGGGCGUAAAGGGCGCGUAGGCGGUGCGGUAAGUCACCUGUGAAAUCUCCUGGCUCAACUGGGAGCUUGCAGGCGAAACUGCCGUGCUGGAGUGUGGGAGAGGUGCGUGGAAUUCCCGGUGUAGCGGUGAAAUGCGUAGAUAUCGGGAGGAAUCACCUGUGGCGAAAGCGGCGCACUGGACCACAACUGACGCUGAGGCGCGAAAGCUAGGGGAGCAAACAGG